AUUGAACGCUGGCGGCAGGCCUAACACAUGCAAGUCGAGCGGAUGAAGGGAGCUUGCUCCUGGAUUCAGCGGCGGACGGGCGAGUAAUGCCUAGGAAUCUGCCUGGUAGUGGGGGAUAACGUCCGGAAACGGGCGCUAAUACCGCAUACGUCCUGAGGGAGAAAGUGGGGGAUCUUCGGACCUCACGCUAUCAGAUGAGCCUAGGUCGGAUUAGCUAGUUGGUGGGGUAAAGGCCUACCAAGGCGACGAUCCGUAACUGGUCUGAGAGGAUGAUCAGUCACACUGGAACUGAGACACGGUCCAGACUCCUACGGGAGGCAGCAGUGGGGAAUAUUGGACAAUGGGCGAAAGCCUGAUCCAGCCAUGCCGCGUGGGUGAAGAAGGUCUUCGGGUUGUAAAGCCCUUUUAGUGGGGAAGAAAGGCAGGAAGUUAAUACCUUGCUGUUUUGACGGUACCCAAAGAAUAAGCACCGGCUAACUUCGUG
rnacentral:rRNA from 1 species